GAUGAACGCUGGCGGCGUGCUUAACACAUGCAAGUCGAACGAAGCACUUUAUUUGAUUUCCUUCGGGACUGAUUAUUUUGUGACUGAGUGGCGGACGGGUGAGUAACGCGUGGGUAACCUGCCUUGUACAGGGGGAUAACAGUUGGAAACGGCUGCUAAUACCGCAUAAGCGCACAGCAUCGCAUGAUGCAGUGUGAAAAACUCCGGUGGUAUAAGAUGGACCCGCGUUGGAUUAGCUAGUUGGUGAGGUAACGGCCCACCAAGGCGACGAUCCAUAGCCGACCUGAGAGGGUGACCGGCCACAUUGGGACUGAGACACGGCCCAAACUCCUACGGGAGGCAGCAGUGGGGAAUAUUGCACAAUGGGCGAAAGCCUGAUGCAGCGACGCCGCGUGAGCGAAGAAAUAUUUCGGUAUGUAAAGCUCUAUCAGCAGGGAAGAUAAUGACGGUACCUGACUAAGAAGCAC
rnacentral:rRNA from 1 species